rnacentral:rRNA from 1 species
GUGGGGAAUCUUAGACAAUGGGGGAAACCCUGAUCUAGCCAUGCCGCGUGAUCGAUGAAGGCCUUAGGGUUGUAAAGAUCUUUCAGCUGGGAAGAUAAUGACGGUACCAGCAGAAGAAGCCCCGGCUAACUCCGUGCCAGCAGCCGCGGUAAUACGGAGGGGGCUAGCGUUGUUCGGAAUUACUGGGCGUAAAGCGCACGUAGGCGGACUGAAAAGUUGGGGGUGAAAUCCCGGGGCUCAACCUCGGAACUGCCUUCAAAACUAUCAGUCUGGAGUUCGAGAGAGGUGAGUGGAAUUCCGAGUGUAGAGGUGAAAUUCGUAGAUAUUCGGAGGAACACCAGUGGCGAAGGCGGCUCACUGGCUCGAUACUGACGCUGAGGUGCGAAAGCGUGGGGAGCAAACAGGAUUAGAUACCCGAGUAGUCC